UUGGGAGGGGUUUUCCCGCCCCUUUCAGUGCUGCAAGCUAAACGCAAUUAAAGUAAUCCGCCUGGGGGGAGUACGACCCGCAAGGGUGAAAACUCAAAAGAAUUGACGGGGGGCCCCGCACAAGCGGUGGAGCAUGUGGUUUAAAUUCGAAGCUACGCGAAGAACCUUACCAGGUCUUGACAUCUUCUGCCAACCUAAGAGAUUAGGCGUUCCCUUCGGGGACAGAAUGACAGGUGGUGCAUGGUUGUCGUCAGCUCGUGUCGUGAGAUGUUGGGUUAAGUCCCGCAACGAGCGCAACCCUUAUUACUAGUUGCCAGCAUUCAGUUGGGCACUCUAGUGAGACUGCCGGUGACAAACCGGAGGAAGGUGGGGACGACGUCAAAUCAUCAUGCCCCUUAUGACCUGGGCUACACACGUGCUACAAUGGAUGGUACAACGAGUCGCGAAACCGCGAGGUUUAGCUAAUCUCUUAAAACCAUUCUCAGUUCGGACUGUAGGCUGCAACUCGCCUACACGAAGUCGGAAUCGCUAGUAAUCGCGGAUCAGCAUGCCGCGGUGAAUACGUUCCCGGGCCUUGUACACACCGCCCGUCUUUUCCAUGAGAGUUUGUAACACCCAAAGCCGGUGGGGUAACCUUUAGA
rnacentral:rRNA from 1 species